UGGGUUGUUCAAGCAGGUCUUGGACUUAACGGCCCUCCUGCCUCUGUCUCCCGCGUAGCUGGCUUGGCAGACCCGUGGCACCAGGCUGACCCGUGGCACCAGGCCGACCUCUGCUGGACUAGUUCUUGACAAUGACUCUCUACAGCAGCUGCACUGCAGCGGGGGACAUUUGCCCUUUAACGUGGGUCUUCUAGAAAUCGAAACACCAGUCCCCAAACCGAUCCCUAACGUUGGUCUUCCGAGCACAGCCCCCAGCCUGCCCAGGAGGUGCGAUCUUAGGCAAGGAGGUCUCGGGUAACCCUCAUAGCGCCCCCUGGGGGCACGUAAUGACAUUUAGUUCCAUCUACUGAAUGCCUCUCCUGGGCACUUCAUGCAUUCCGUCUUCAUGGCUCUUCCCAGUAACCCACGCGGGUAUCAUUGUCAUCAUUUUGCAGCAGAGGACACUAAGCAGGGCUGAGUGGCGUGGGCGAUGGGACCAGAGUCCUGCUUUUAGGCUCCAGCCAGUGCGACUGUUCUCUGGCUGCUUCCACGCUUGCCUGGCCUUUCUGACUUCAGCUCCGAGAGGAACUCCGAGCACUUCCUCUCCUGUUUAUGUCCAGGCCCUACAUCCAGCGAAGUCCCCUGCAGGCCUUCCAAUGGGGCCUGACUCUCAUUCAUCCAGGACCGCGGAAGGGCGAGUGUUGCUCGGGGGAGUCACGCAGAGCCUCUGAGCAAUAGACCAGUAGCUAAGGCAUAUGUCCAGCCUUAAUCGUAAGACAACUGGCCAGCAAGUGUGGACUACCUUGGUGACAGACUGGACACCCGGGAGUCAGGGAGAUCAGAGCUGACAUCAGAGAGUCCCCGGGCAAAGCGGAGGGGACGGUUUUCUGUAUGGAGACCCCGUGGAUUAAAGCAGCAGGGCAGAUAUUCACUGGAGCAGUGGAGAAGCGCAGGCGCACAGCGAAUGAGGAGCCCUGGGAGGCAACUGGCCCCACGGAGGUGCACGGCGGUCAACAGCCGCGCUGCGCUCUUUGCUACGCUGAAGAAACAGUGGGCUGGGCUUAGAGCCUUACGCUGAUGGGCCUUGAGCUUCGUGGCUGCCACACUUCCUGUAGAACAGGUCCCUGGCCCAGACCCAACCGCAGAGUUGGCAGUCGGCUCUAGGAGUAGGGUCUGCCUGGGCCGGCAGGACUCUGCUGAGGAAAUGGGUGUUGGAUGGCACUCUCCAAGUUUGGUGUAAUGGUUAUCCCCGUUACACCUCGGUGACAAGCUGGGUCGCUCCAGACGGCUCCCAGGCACUGAGCGUUGGAGGGGAGACUGAACGCCCUGCAACCCUACAGCUGUAAGCAUUGGUUGGUGCUGGGACUUGGCCCUGACCUGUGAUGCUAUACUGCGUUUGCUGCUCUCUGAAUUCCCGCCCUCACUCCACACUGGGGCCGGGUGGGAGGCUGGUAGGAAGGGGAACAGUCUACGUGGAAGGGGCACUUGCCCAGGGUCUUUUCUCCUUAGCUCUGAAGGUCUCCUUGCCCAGACCUGGCUGCUACGACUACAGAGUUUGCCAGUCUACAGAGAAGAUACAGGGGCUGCUGCCGAGCAAGGCCAAGGAACAGAGAUUCUUGUCAAGUUCUUAGUAGCUAACACCCAUGUUGUCAGACCCGUGGGGCGAGGAGCCCAGCCAUGAAAUCAGAUCGCCACCAAGUACUCAGGCCUGCGAUCCCAGAAUCUGACUGAGGCAGGAGGAUCACGACAAGUUCAAAGCCAGCCAGACUAGGUUACAGAGUGAGACUGUCUGAAACCCCUCCGCUCUCAGAGCAGAUCUAGAUCCCUGCCUUCCUUAAGUCCAUCAUGUUACUGAAUUCCAAGCAAUGGGAAACAGAUGAUAAUUCAUUGGAAAAAGCAAAACCAGGAAUCAUGAAUCCUCACAGAUAUGCCAGAGAAUAAAAUGGUUAUUGAACCAGAUAUUCCAUUGUUUCAAAGCACUUCUCUAGAAGCACCCAUUGAUGACAGGGAAAACAGUUUCACCUCGGCAGGUGGCAGCUUCAGUACUCAAAUGAGUGUCCUCUCAGCAGUGAAACCAAUGACCUAAUGGGGGAGACUUCAGCACGAAAUGUGUGAUGCCCUUACCAAAGCACCUACAAGCUCAAUGCGACAGUAAGAAAACACCAGGAGAACCCAGAGCGAGGGCUAUUCCACAGAAUGACUGGUCCUUAGUAUUCAAAAGUAUCCAAAGUAAACGACACAGACAGAAAGCCACAGCCACCAAAUGUUUGUCCGUUCUGAUCGGGUCUCUCACUCUAGAGGACAUCAGCAGGACAGCUGGGGACAGCAGGAUUAGAAUUCCCUAGGAGACUGCUCUUC